AUAUUGGGCAAUGGGCGCAAGCCUGACCCAGCAACGCCGCGUGAAGGAAGAAGGCCCUCGGGUUGUAAACUUCUUUUGUCAGGGACGAAGCAAGUGACGGUACCUGACGAAUAAGCCACGGCUAACUACGUGCCAGCAGCAGCGGUAAUACGUAGGUGGCAAGCGUUAUCCGGAUUUACUGGGUGUAAAGGGCGUGUAGGCGGGACUGCAAGUCAGAUGUGAAAACCAUGGGCUCAACCCAUUGCCUGCAUUUGAAACUGUAGUUCUUGAGUGUUGGAGAGGCAGGCGGAAUUCCGUGUGUAGCGGUGAAAUGCGUAGAUAUACGGAGGAACACCAGUGGCGAAGGCGGCCUGCUGGACAAUAACUGACGCUGAGGCGCGAAAGCGUGGGGAGCAAACAGG
rnacentral:rRNA from 1 species